AGACCCGAAACCCGGUGAUCUAGCCAUGGGCAGGUUGAAGGUUGGGUAACACUAACUGGAGGACCGAACCGACUAAUGUUGAAAAAUUAGCGGAUGACCUGUGGCUGGGGGUGAAAGGCCAAUCAAACCGGGAGAUAGCUGGUUCUCCCCGAAAGCUAUUUAGGUAGCGCCUCGUGAAUUCAUCUCCGGGGGUAGAGCACUGUUUCGGCUAGGGGGCCAUCCCGGCUUACCAACCCGAUGCAAACUGCGAAUACCGGAGAAUGUUAUCACGGGAGACACACGGCGGGUGCUAACGUCCGUCGUGAAGAGGGAAACAACCCAGACCGCCAGCUAAGGUCCCAAAGUCAUGGUUAAGUGGGAAACGAUGUGGGAAGGCCCAGACAGCCAGGAUGUUGGCUUAGAAGCAGCCAUCAUUUAAAGAAAGCGUAAUAGCUCACUGGUCGAGUCGGCCUGCGCGGAAGAUGUAACGGGGCUAAACCAUGCACCGAAGCUGCGGCAGCGAACGUAUCACUUAAAGCGAUUCAGCGGGUUACGAUUGACGGAGCGAAGCGACGUCAAAGCGUAUACAAAGUCGAGUCGGUUUAAGGAUACGUUCGUUGGGUAGGGGAGCGUUCUGUAAGCCUGUGAAGGUGUGUCGUGAGGCAUGCUGGAGGUAUCAGAAGUGCGAAUGCUGACAUAAGUAACGAUAAAGCGGGUGAAAAGCCCGCUCGCCGGAAGACCAAGGGUUCCUGUCCAACGUUAAUCGGGGCAGGGUGAGUCGACCCCUAAGGCGAGGCCGAAAGGCGUAGUCGAUGGGAAACGGGUUAAUAUUCCCGUACUUGGUGUUACUGCGAAGGGGGGACGGAGAAGGCUAUGUUGGCCGGGCGACGGUUGUCCCGGUUUAAGCGUGUAGGCUGGUUUUCCAGG
rnacentral:rRNA from 1 species